rnacentral:rRNA from 1 species
AGACAGCAGCAGCCACGGUAAUACAGAGGGUGCGAGCGUUAAUCGGAUUUACUGGGCGUAAAGCGUGCGUAGGCGGCUUUUUAAGUCGGAUGUGAAAUCCCUGAGCUUAACUUAGGAAUUGCAUUCGAUACUGGGAAGCUAGAGUAUGGGAGAGGAUGGUAGAAUUCCAGGUGUAGCGGUGAAAUGCGUAGAGAUCUGGAGGAAUACCGAUGGCGAAGGCAGCCAUCUGGCCUAAUACUGACGCUGAGGUACGAAAGCAUGGGGAGCAAACAGGAUUAGAUACCCGAGUAGUCCCUGUCUCUUAUAC